CUGUUCUUCCAACCUGCUGACCUCACACGUAUCGGGAUGUUGACACUCGGAAGCUCUCCUUUCCCGGCCCUCCCCUGGCUGGCCCCUUGCUGCUAUUUCAGCCUCAGCCCGCAUGUCCCCUCCCGAGGAGGCUUUCCCGGAGACCCUCCCACCGACCCGGGGUGGCUCCGGUUCCGCUCUUUCUCUCCCACGGCUGUUUUAUCUCCUUCAAAGUCCUCAUCGCCCUCACAAUUCACGAAACCAUCUACUGGCUCACCCGCUCAUCACCCGCGCGCUCCACCAAAGGAAGUGGGAGCUUUUCUGACUAUCCACAGCUCCGCACAGUACUGAGUUGAGCCCUCUCGAGGCGGAGGCCAAGGGUGUGACUGACUGGAAGUUACAUUGGUAAUCUACGGGGAACCACAGGUGGGGUGACCAUGAUUGAUUUUUAGCCUGUGACUAUAAGCAGAAACAUUGAGUGUGACUUCUGAGAAGUGGGGCACACUUUCCUUUGCCCCUCCUGUUCUCUGCUGGCUGGAAUGAGAACGUGAAGGCUGGAACCUGAGUGGCCCUUAUGGACCAUGAGAAGGAAAUGACAUGUAAACCACAAUAGGCAACAACAUGGAAAGAUCUUGGCACUUUGGAGUACAAUAUUGGCCCUGUACUAUUUACUUCCAGCCUUUUUAUACAUGAGAGAGAAAGAAAAAUACACUUUUAUAUUUUAAGUCUUCCUAUUUUCUAACAUGUACAGCUGGGCCUAAUCCUAACUGACAUAUUGGACAAAUACAAUUUUCUAAUCUAUAAAAUUUCAGUAAUUUUAUAAUAGUUCCUAUCUUAAAAAGUUAUAUUGAGGACUAAAUGAGACAAUACAUGUAAAAUGCUUGGUAUUACGUCUGGUCCCAUAGUAACCACUCAAUAAAAUAUAAGCUUCAUUUGUUUUUAUUUCCAUGAACUCAUUGAUGAUUUAGGAAAUAAAAUCAGCCCAAGGUCUUAGCUCCGAGACUGUUUUGUAAUAACAGGAAAAGAGACGAGG